GGGGGGGGGUCACAGAUCUGGGUAAGAGUGUUGCUGAGGCCAGAAUUUAGGCAAUGUAAUAUAGCAAGAGCUGCCAAACCAGGCAGGGGAAAGAAACUUUAUUCAAUCAUCUGCUUUACUUAUUUCAUAGCUGAGGAAAUUCAUCUAUUCCUUUGGACUUGUUUGUGCUGUGAAAGCUCUGUGUUGUCACGAGGCAAAGAAACUGUUAGAGAGAAUAAAAAGGGCGACGCUGAGCUGCAACCCGCCUUAAAAUGCUGCAUCCGGAUAGGAAACAUAAAACAACAAAUUAGGGAAAAGAGCCCCACGGUUUUUCCGAAGCCAAGGGUGAGGUCUGAUCGCUCCUCACCAAGUCACUGGGAUUAGGAAGGCAUUAACAGGAAUGACAACUUGACGGGUUUUAGCAAAGCGUCGUGACACUGUGACAUCGCCUUUCCAAAAAAUAACGUAUUUGGGGGUGUGCACGCAGAACUACACGUACGUACGCACCCAUGUGCGCAGAAGGAAAGCCUGGGAGGACUCAAAGUUGUCACUAGAAAGGGGCCAGCAUGGGACCGAGCUGUCCCAGGAAGGGCUACAGAGAUGCACCUGCAUCAUUUCAUCAAUUCAAAGGAGGUUCAGGAUGAAAAUGAACUAACUCCAAGAAAUUGCCAGUGCUUCAUCUGAAAUGCAAAACUACGUGCCUGGUGCCUGAGCGGCUAUGACCUGUCAUGUCAAAGCUUUUUAUUAAAGUCUCUUAAUCCCCAGAUUAUCACCACAAUAGUUCCACAGGCCCAUUCCAGAUAAGGCCGGGCCCAUUGUGGAGAUGCACAUUGGAGGAGUUUUAAUCUGCAAAUUAUUGGCAUGCAAGACCAUGAGGGGCUGCUUUGCUGGGUUGCCCGUUGCGUCAAGGGGAAUUGAAUAUUUAUAAAGAAGACUUCAAAUGGGCCAUGCACUGUAUUCCUCCCACACAUGUGUAAUCCCCAUGUGGCAGAGGGGCCCUCCUGAAAGAAAAAAACCCUCCUGCGCAGCCACGACACACAUGGACUCCCCCAGACACCACACAGCCUUGGUGGAAAGAAGAGCCCGGCAGCCAACAGAGGGAGCACAAAUUCCUGAGCAGCGCUACAUGCCUGGACUCUGCGAUCCCCUCGGCUGUCUUCGAUUGCUGAUCCUGCUGGCACACAAUCUAGGAGGCAGCAAAAGGCGCCAGCCUUGGAGGAAUAAUAUGCUCUUAACUCCCUUCCCCUGCAACAGGACACGGAGCAGCUCAGCCCCUCAGAGGACCCUACUCCAAAUAAGAGUCAUGAUCUGA
rnacentral:lncRNA from 1 species